rnacentral:lncRNA from 1 species
AGUCAAUAUGAAUCAGCCUUAGGUUCCCUGCCUCAAGACCCUAUUCUCCUGCCUCACUUUAAGCUAAGUGUUAUUACAAAAGAGUCAAAAAGUUAAGACAAAAUUUAAAGGUUUAUAAAGUAAAAAAAGUUACUGUGAGCUAAGUGUAACUUAUUGAAAACUUUUUUUUUAAUUUAGUAUAAUCAAACUGUGUUUAUACAGUCUAUAGUAGUAUACAGUAACAUCCUAGACCUCUACAUUCCCUCACCACUGACUCACUCACUCACCAACUCACUCAGAGCAACAUCCAGUCCUGGAAGCUCCAUUCACAGAAGCUAUUGGAAGAGAUGCUCAAAGAAGAAAAAAUUACCAUAAUCCAAUAAAGAAGACCUGAGAUCCAGGAAGCAGAUGAUCUGAACUGCAGAGAAAGUUCAGGAAAGUUCCCUCAUUGAUGAUGAUGGGAAAUAACAGUAAAUUCUGUACAGCAAUCUUGGACAACAACCAAUCUAAACUGGCACAGUGCAGAGGCAAUCAACAGAGAAUAUAAUAUUGGUAGAAUGCCUGAAACUUUUGAUUGUAUUCACAGGAAACAAACAAUUGGAAGACAGUUUAUGAAUGAAUUAGUGAUAAGCAUUUUUUUUCAACUUUUAUUUUAGAUUCAAGGGUACAUGUGCAGGUUUGGUGCCUUGGUAUAUUGGGUGACGCUGAGGUUUGUGUUACAAAUUAUCCCAUCAUCCAGGUACUGAGCAUGGUAUCCAGUAGUUAGUUUUUAACCCUUCUCCUGUCUUCUCCUGGUGGUCUCCAGUUUCUACUGUUGCCAUCUUUAUGUCCAUGAGUAUACAAUGUUUAGCUCCCACUUGUGAGAACAUGCAGUAUUUGCCUAUUAUUUGUUUAUUUGUUGAGGCAUACUUUCACUCUGUAGCUCAGGGUGUAGUGCAGUGGCCCAAUCUCGGCUCACUGCAACCUACGCUUCCUGUGUUCAAGCGAUUCUCUUGCCUCGGCCUCCCCAGUAGCUAAGAUUACAGGCACCCACCACCAUGCCUGACUAAUUUUUGUAUUUUAAUAGAAACAGGGUUUCACCCUGUUGGCCAGGCUGGUUUUGAACUCCUGAUCUCAAGCGAUCCACUCACCUUGGCCUCCCAAACGGCUGGGAUUAUAGGCUUGAGCCACUGCGCCCAGCCAGUAUUUGCUUUUCUAUUCCUGCAUUAAUUUGCUUAGGAUAAUAGCCCUCAACUUCAUCCAUGUUGCUGCAAAGAAAAUAAUUUUGUUCUUUUUUAGGGCUGCAUAGUAUUCCAUGGUGUAUAUGUACCACAUUUGUUUUAUUUAAUCCACUGUUGAUGGACACCUGGAUUUGUUCUAUGUCUUUGCUACUACAAACAGGGUUGUGAUGAAUAUGCAAAGUCAUGUGUCUCCUUGAGAGAAAUAUUUUUAAAAUACAAUAAAAUAAACCAAAAAAAAUUAAUGUCAGGGCUAACAUACAGUUGUUAGAGAAAAAAAAUAUUUUGUUAUAUAGAUAGACACUAGCUUUAACAUAAUAAUAGUUACGUAAGUAGUCGAAGUUCAUAUGAUCAAAAUUAUUAUUUAGCUGUUUUAAAAGAAUGCAGUUAUAAGAGAUAUACCAUUAAUGGUGAAUAGUUCUAGUAAAAGCAAGCUAAGCUCUCUGUCACAUUCCAUGGAGGGAACUUAAUAAGCCCUGAAACUGAAAGUUCAAGAAGGAAAAGUGCAAGUCCUACAUGAAUUGAUCAAUGAUUGCCUCUGGCAAGUAUUGGUGUGAAUGGGGAGGCAAAAUUGCUAGUUUGGUUAAUAAGCUAUGUAACUGUUUGAUAAUUCUUCACUUGCGUGUAAACUUCGGUACAAAUAAAAGCUAAUGAAAACAGAAAGAGAAUUAUUAAAUCAUCAUAACAAAGUUAACAUUUUUCAUCAUUUUUCACUUGUUCAAAGAUCAUAAGAAAUUUUCAUCUUAAUUUUCAAACAUCAACUAAUGUUUCUACUCUCCCCGAGUACCAUAAAAAGCCUUCUGUGGACAGUCUAAGUGGCAAUGACACAUUAGAUUUGUCAAAAAUUACUUUCAGAUGUAAAUCAAUUUGAGAAUGAACUGAUGCUCUGAAACUGGAAUUUACUUGUUGCUCAAAUUUGCCCCAAAAUAAAAUAAUUUUCAAUCAUAGGAGAAUUCACAGGGCCCAGCUCUCCAUUGGUGUUCUAAUCUAUUCUCUGACCGCUAUGCUGUACACAAGAAUCCUCAAUGGUUUUUCUGGAACCCAAGACGGAAAUAAUGUCCCAAAUAAUGCUUGCUCUAAGAGUAUCACUCGCCCAGGGGCUUUACCACCUGCAACUUUCCCUUUUACCAGUUUUGCUACAGAUUUUUAUGAACAUAGUUCCCCAGUCACCAGGGCCACAGAUGUUUGAAAUACUUUUCUGUCUUUUUUUUAAGUGAUAAACAACUGAAUUCCUACUAACUUUUACUCCACGAGUGACUUUACAAUACAUUAAAAAAAGAUAAGCUGUCGGUAUUCUUUUCUUUAAAAACUGUAAAAUGCCUUUCUGCUUAUUUCUUAUACUACAUUGUCUCUCAGAUAAUACAUUGAUGUAAUUUUGGAUAGUGUUUUAAUGAAGAAGUUGACAGUCAGUAAUGCACAUUAAUUAAAAUAUGUAAAAAUCUA